GAACGGUUAGCUCAGUCAGUUGAGUGUGGCACUGACAACGCCAAGGUCGCGGGUUAGAUUCCCAUUUGGUCCC
rnacentral:tRNA from 1 species